rnacentral:rRNA from 1 species
GAUGAACGCUGGCGGCGUGCCUAAUACAUGCAAGUCGAGCGAACAGACGAGGAGCUUGCUCCUCUGACGUUAGCGGCGGACGGGUGAGUAACACGUGGAUAACCUACCUAUAAGACUGGGAUAACUUCGGGAAACCGGAGCUAAUACCGGAUAAUAUAUUGAACCGCAUGGUUCAAUAGUGAAAGACGGUUUUGCUGUCACUUAUAGAUGGAUCCGCGCCGCAUUAGCUAGUUGGUAAGGUAACGGCUUACCAAGGCGACGAUGCGUAGCCGACCUGAGAGGGUGAUCGGCCACACUGGAACUGAGACACGGUCCAGACUCCUACGGGAGGCAGCAGUAGGGAAUCUUCCGCAAUGGGCGAAAGCCUGACGGAGAAACGCCGCGUGAGUGAUGAAGGUCUUCGGAUCGUAAAACUCUGUUAUUAGGGAAGAACAAAUGUGUAAGUAACUAUGCACGUCUUGACGGUACCUAAUCAGAAAGCCACGGCUAACUACGUG